UCCACCAUUCUGAGCUGUCCCUACAGGA
rnacentral:piRNA from 2 species